AACGGCCGUACCAUGCUGAAUAUACCGGUUCUCGUUAGAUCACCGAAGUCAAGCAUCAUUGGGCACGGUCAGUACUUGGGUGGGUGACCACCUGGGAACACUGCGUGCCGUU